rnacentral:rRNA from 1 species
GACGAACCGUGCGAACGUUGUUCGGAAUCACUGGGCGUAAAGGGCUCGUAGGUGGCCAACUAAGUCAGACGUGAAAUCCCCAGGCUUAACCUGGGAACUGCGUCUGAUACUGGAUGGCUUGAAUUCGGGAGAGGGAUGCAGAAUUCCAGGUGUAGCGGUGAAAUGCGUAGAUAUCUGGAGGAAUACCGGUGGCGAAGGCGGCAUCCUGGACCGAGAUUGACACUGAUGAGCGAAAGCUAGGGGAGCAAACGGG